AUGUUAGGUUGACAUCUAUUUUGGAUUUUUCGAAUUUUUUCGGUUUUCGGAUUUUUUUUUUACAUUUCGAUUUUUUUUUCACAUUUCGGGUUUUUCGGUUCGGAUCGGAUUUUAUCCGAAAUUUUUCGGAUUUUCGGAUUCGGAUUUUCGGAUAAUACGGUUCAGAUCGAAUUGAAUUUUAGAAAAAUUUCGGAUUUUCGGAUCGGAUCAGGCAAAAAUCCGAUCCGAAAUCCGAAUGCUCACCCCUAGGUACGUGCAUGUGUAGGUGGAACGGUGGUUCGAGGGGGUCUAUU
rnacentral:lncRNA from 1 species